UACGUAGGGUGCAAGCGUUUGUCCGGAAUUAUUGGGCGUAAAGAGCUCGUAGGCGGUCUGUUGCGUCGGCUGUGAAAACCCGAGGCUCAACCUCGGGCCUGCAGCCGAUACGGGCAGACUAGAGUUCGGCAGGGGAGACUGGAAUUCCUGGUGUAGCGGUGAAAUGCGCAGAUAUCGGGGAAGAACACCCCGUGGCGAAAGGCGGGUUCUCUGGGGACGGUACUGACGCUGAGACGCGAAAAGCGUGGGGGAGCGAACAGG
rnacentral:rRNA from 1 species